AUUUUAUUGGAUGAAAAUGAGAUACAAGGCCUAAAUCCAUUAGAAGUAAAAUAAUGCAUAACACCACCCAAUCUCAAAGGAAAAGGCCUAAACCCUUGCAAAAACAAUGAGCCCUAAACUAAAAUGGGAAUGACGUUCUUCUCUUAUGCAACAACCACCUUGACCUCUCCUCCCUUCAUCAACAUCUUCACUUGCCUCUGAAAAGGAAAGGCUUGACAGCACAACCAUGCAGAGGACCAAACGUUCACAGUGGAUGAGACUAAGGGCCAUAAUCAUGUCGGACUAAUCAGGAAAAGCUUAGCAGUGCCAGGACCUUGCAUGCUUGUGUAACCUCGACAGAGAUGGUGACCACAUUGACACUAAACUUCUAAACUGCCAGCCGAUAAUCUACUCUGAUAAACUGCAUCAAUAAGGGAGACGCCUUCAACAAGAAGAACAAUCUCGUAGAACACUAACUAAAUCCCCAUCUAAAAAGGGCACCAGAACUCCAAAGCU
rnacentral:misc_RNA from 1 species